rnacentral:tRNA from 1 species
GGUCCCCUAGUUCAAUGGAUAGAAUAGGCCCGUCCUAAGGGUUAGAUACUGGUUCGAUUCCGGUGGGGACUA